CUUGGCUCAGUGUCUGGGGUGGGAAGAGGGGGCACCUCGUGUUUGCAGGGAAGGGACACGCAGCCACAGGAGGUCAGAGGGAGGCACUGACCUGGCAGAGCAAACAGCCUGUUUGUCCUCUCCCAGCAGUGAGGUGACUGUCCCAUCGGUGGGACUGUCCCAUCCACCUCCAGGGACAUCUCUGAGAGCUCAGGGGGAUGAUCCCUGCAGGGUUGAGGGAAGAAGGGAGAUGGAAGAUGAGCUCACGGCCACCGAGAAGCCACCCUGGCAGAGCCCUGCCUCCCCCACCUCUGCCCAGUUUGACUCCAGAGCACCACAGGGCUAUAAAAAACCCACAUUUGUCCUCAAGGACAAAACGCACCCACGACUACAAAAUUCAUGUGCAUCCUCUACAGCGUUUCCCUCCUCUCCUGCAGAGUCGGUAACAUUUGCAGAGAAGCUGUUUAUAACAAACUUUUUGCUAAAGUAUGCGAAACAUUAAGGCUGUCCACACUAUUUAUAGGACUCGGCCCCCAGAUGCCUUCCUGCUUUUCCUACAGACUAAUAAAAACAAUGGAGUAAAUAAAUAAAAAAGGACGCAAAGUUCGGUUAAACUCAAAACCAGCUCGAGGGAAGAGAGAGCCGAAGACGGGAUGGUCCUGGGAAGACAUCCAGCCUAGCAGACAUCCCUGCUGUGCUGCUGCUCACAAACUCUCUGAUUUCAAGGAGACACGCAUCGUGUCACUGCCAGAUGCACCACGGAGCUGGUCGGCACCACCACGCGCUUCUCCCACGGUGGCAAGUGACGCUGCGCUGGAGCUUCUGUCGGGGGGGAAAAAAAGUCAUAUUUGAGAGAACCCUGCACAGUCCCACCCCACAGCUGGGCUGAUUGAGGGCAGGGAGGAGGCUUCCGAAGAACUGACCCCCCCCCUCCCAUUCAGAGGGAGGCUUUUUGGUGUUUCUUCUUUGAACAAAGGGAUAUCGGUCAAUUUAUUUUUAAUUUUUUUUUUAAAUUUAUUUACUUUUCUCAAAGCUAUUGAAAGGGUUGCCUGGAAAGCUCCAGCAGAAAGCUCAGCCCUCUGAGCUCCACAACGUGCCGUUCACUGGGAUUAAAAGUCAACUAAUGCUUCAGAGCACCAGGAUUUCAACAGCACGGAGCCUCCCGACGGCAAAUUCAGCAGGAUCUCAAAGGAGCAGCAGCAGCAGCAGCUGCCUCUCCCCGCAGAUGCCGUUUCACCCCGGAUUUGUGUGCAUCCCACUCCCGAAAAGCAGCUGGAAACCCACGGUGCCUUCCCUGCACGGAGAGUGAGCCCCCUCUGCCCUCUCCCCAGGCAGGUGGAACGGGGCUCCCAGCAGAUUCCCCGCAGCUCCCAGUCCAUCCCAGCUGACCAGCAGAUGAUCCAGCGCGUUUCCCCACAAGACUUGUGCUGGGGGAAACCAGGGCCAGGACACGAGGUACCUCUAAUCAUUUUUUUGAUUAAUAUUUGCGGGUGAAUGCUGUAAAUACGAGCCGAGAAGAUUUCAAAGAAAGUCACCGAGCCGCGUUAAGUGAAUUAAUUUGCUUUUAGACAAGAUGCGGCUGGUUUUCAGCCUUUUACCAGCAGGAACAUUGUUCCUUUCCUAUGCCAAAGACUGACUGCACUUGCUCGCCUGCUUCGCUUCAAGGGUGGAGGAAAUUUAAGCAAGAACAUGUAUAGUGAAUUGCUAAAUUCAACCAGUGCCACCGAAGCCCACCUCAUCAUUCAGACCAACACGCCCUACCUGAGCGGCACCCCGCGACCCGUCAGCUCCUCUGCUUUUUACGUGUCCACAGCCAGGGUGUUAAAAGAAGGGGAAAUAAACAAGCCAGACCUGGUGACUUACAUCAUUCUGUUUUUCUUUCUGCUCUUGACUGUGACACUCAUCGUGCUCUUCAUAAACUGCCAGCUGAAAAAUUCUUUUUUUGCUACUCUUCCUUACGACAGAUCGCUCCGAGAGGCGAGGAGCCCGUGGAGGACACAAGCUGUCUGACACCAGAGAGAAACUAUGUCUUGCAGCAGGAGCAGGCACCAGAAGCCCUGGGCAAUAAGGCGUUAUUGCCAUGUGGCAGUGAAUGGAUGGGACCCUCUUUAAACAGGCUGCAUCGCAGGAAAAGGUUGCUGAAAAAAACAUGCUGUAUGCAAAUCGGCGUCGCUGUAAAUAAAAAGCUCUGUGAUGAACUAAAGAGAGAAUGCUUUAGCAAAUUGAUAGGGUUUUGUGCAAAAAAAUUGCCCCCCUGAUUCCAGAUUAAGCUCUAUAUAUAUGCAAAUGUCAUCAUCCACCCAUUCAGUGUCCAUACAAGGAUAUUUGUGUUACCAACAAUCUCUGGUUUGGGCAUGUGGUGGAGCUUGUUACCCGUGUUUAUGAAACCAUAGCAUCAAAUGUAAAAAAAAACCCACAGUAUAUUUACCUAAGGGCUCCGAGCUGCGGGUACGAGUUUACUUUCCAGACCCAUUUCUCUCAAGGGCUGCCGAAGCUGCGGGGUAAUGCAGCCGGAGUCCUGCCAGGCAGGAGGAGAAAACAAAAAAAGGUUUAUUUAGACUUUGGAUUGUGAUUCUGUUAAGGGUGGGCGUGAGGUUUUACUGCAUCAUCGAACAGGUUCUGAGUUACCAUUUCUGUGAAACACUAAAUACCUAAGGAAUUUGUUUUCAACUUUCUUAAGCUACAACGGACAUUUUUCGCCACGGCACGAAACUAAAAUAAUCAAGAAGGGGAGAAGGAAGGAGAGAAAAUAAACAUCAUUAAUAUGUAUGUAAACUAAUGAAAGGGGAGAGCAGAGUGCUCUGAGUUCAGUACACAAAGUAGACAACUUUUGAAAGCCAUAAAACAGUUUUAUAGGAGCAGUUGCUUUAAUGCACAAUAUCCCCACUCCGUGCUCUUUAUAUAAAAUCUGGAACAGUUAGGAGCCUGCUUUAUCAAUAUGGCAACACUUUGAUUCAACAUUGAUCCCCGGCAAUAAACACUGGUUCAAAUUAUUGGCUAGCUGAUUUUGUUCUAAAAGCUCCUGCUUAACUUUGUUAGCUGACAUGCUAUUUUAUAGAUGGUUAUUUUUAAUAAAGUGGCGGUUACAGCACAAUUCCAAAUCAAACUGCACAAACCCCAGACCCGUAUUUCUGUAUCCCACAAACAGUGGGUUUUUGUUUGUUUGUUUGUUGGGGUUUUUUAGCCCCAGUAACUCAACAUAGAACCGAAUUGCAGCUAUCCAGGAGGACAGACUCCUAAAUCCUAUUUUUGCUCCGUUUUUUGCCAAUUGGAUCAUUUAUCAGAAGAACAGCGUCCAAGUGGUGUCAGAUGCUGCACCCCUAAAUCCCUUCUUAACAUGCAGACCACAGCAGCAGUGCUGUGCAUGUAUAUGUGUAUAUAACUUAUUUAAUCCAAAUGAAAAGAUUUUACAAUGCAAUUACAGAUGUACAGGCUCGCACUCAAACACCCAGACAGAACGUGCACACACGGGAGCCUGUUUGCAAGCUUCUUCUUUUUCUUUUUUACACAGAAAUUGCACAGUCAAUAACACUUCCAUGUCAUUGUCUUGGUUACCAUGUUUUAUUACACUCAAGUAAGUUAAACUACUAUAUAAGAGGCUUAAAUAUUUUAUUCCUCAAUAGGUGGCCAAUUUUUAUCUCCUCUGAACCAAAUUUAACUGGUGUAAUUCCAAGUAAUUACUCUAAUGUAGAAAGCGAGAAUAAAUUCAAGUGUGUUUAUCAGCCCUUUUCGAAUAAAUCGAGUUUUAUCAAA